UCUCCUGGAAAACGGGUGGUAAUGCCGGAUGUUCCAGUUGAUCGCAUGGUCUUCUGGGAAAGCUUUCGCGGUAUGGGAUGGGGUCGCGUCCUAUCAGCUUGACGGCGGGGUAACGGCCCACCGUGGCUUCGACGGGUAGCCGGCCUGAGAGGGCGACCGGCCACAUUGGGACUGAGAUACGGCCCAGACUCCUACGGGAGGCAGCAGUGGGGAAUAUUGCACAAUGGGCGCAAGCCUGAUGCAGCGACGCCGCGUGAGGGAUGGAGGCCUUCGGGUUGUAAACCUCUUUUAUCGGGGAGCAAGCGUGAGUGAGUUUACCCGUUGAAUAAGCACCGGCUAACUACGUGCCAGCAGCCGCGGUAAUACGUAGGGUGCAAGCGUUAUCCGGAAUUAUUGGGCGUAAAGGGCUCGUAGGCGGUUCGUCGCGUCCGGUGUGAAAGUCCAUCGCUUAACGGUGGAUCCGCGCCGGGUACGGGCGGGCUUGAGUGCGGUAGGGGAGACUGGAAUUCCCGGUGUAACGGUGGAAUGUGUAGAUAUCGGGAAAGAACACC
rnacentral:rRNA from 1 species